AAUCCAUAGGUUAAUGAGGCGAACCGGGGGAACUGAAACAUCUAAGUACCCCGAGGAAAAGAAAUCAACCGAGAUUCCCCCAGUAGCGGCGAGCGAACGGGGAGGAGCCCAGAGCCUGAAUCAGCAUGUGUGUUAGUGGAAGCGUCUGGAAAGGCGCGCGAUACAGGGUGACAGCCCCGUACACAAAAGCGCAUGUGCUGUGAGCUCGAUGAGUAGGGCGGGACACGUGGUAUCCUGUCUGAAUAUGGGGGGACCAUCCUCCAAGGCUAAAUACUCCUGACUGACCGAUAGUGAACCAGUACCGUGAGGGAAAGGCGAAAAGAACCCCGGCGAGGGGAGUGAAAAAGAACCUGAAACCGUGUACGUACAAGCAGUGGGAGCCCCACCACUAAGCCAGUGGUGAACUCCACAUACGCAUCCUUUGCUGAGGAUACGGUUAACGGAGCGAAAGCGACGUUCAACCGCAAAAGAAGCAGAGGGGGCUUAGUGGUGGGGUGACUGCGUAC
rnacentral:rRNA from 1 species